rnacentral:rRNA from 1 species
UACGGAGGAUCCAAGCGUUCUCCGGAUUUACUGGGUUUAAAGGGUGCGUAGGUGGGUUGGUAAGUCAGUGGUGAAAUACUUUCGCUUAACGAAGGAACUGCCAUUGAUACUACCAGUCUUGAAUACAGUGGAGGUAGGCGGAAUGCGUCAUGUAGCGGUGAAAUGCUUAGAUAUGACGCAGAACACCAAUUGCGAAGGCAGCUUGCUACACUGUUAUUGACACUGAGGCACGAAAGCGUGGGGAUCAAACAGG